rnacentral:lncRNA from 1 species
UGCCGUUUGCUUUGACUGGCGGACUUGAGUGACCUCUAGUGGCCGACUGAGCAUUGACAUCCAAUGUGAUUCCGCAUGUUCCACGUUUUUUGCUUAUGUGAACAUGCAAGACUCGCAAAAGCUCUUGGCUCAAGGGAAACAUGAUUCUAGUCUGGCCUGGCCCAUGUCCCGUUUUCAGUCUGGCUCAACCCCGCUGUUAGAAGGCACUUUCUAUCACAGAAUAAAAAAAUGUAUCUUAGCUCUCUGCAAAUAGCACAUGGUGGCAUGGGUAACUAGCCUAAACGUUUGUUUUUGCUUGAUACUCCAUCAAAUAUAAAGAGGCACUCAAUAUUAAGUGUUUUGUUCAAGCACAAACGUUAAUUUAGAGCUAAAACGCCUUAAAAUAAGACUUAGCUGCGUUGACAACAAAUACAUUUAGUUUUACUAUGCGUUUACAAAACAAAACCGAGUAAAGCAAAUGUAAAUGUUAUAGCCUAUUAUUAUUUCAGAGAUUGCUUCUGUAGGUUGGUUCACAGAAAUGAACAAGAAAUAAGGCCAUGUGUAACAUUAAAACUAGGCCAGUAGAACACCGAUGUCUAUAUGAAGAGAGGAACUGCAAACUUAUUCCAGGAUCUGAUAUAAAUUUGGAGUAGGGACACUAAGGAGGUUUUAUGUCUGAGAAUGCAACACUGUGGUCAUCUAGUUCUGGCUCCAAGCUCUUUAUGGGAUCUGGAACAAAGUUAAUUGUGCAGACCAAGAAAGUAGAAACACCAGCCUAUUACAGAUUUAAUAAGUCAUGUUUGGCAACCGACUUCACAAAACAUGAUGCUGUAAACUUCAUAGACGUUACACCAGUGCGAUAUUCAGGCCAAAAUUACUACAGCAGCUUCACCUUUAAUGAUUCAGAAGCCUGCCCAGAAAAAGACUGUAAGUCAGGAUCAUCUGGUCAAAAUGCUGAUUUUGAAACCGGUAAGUGUGCUUUUAUUUGCACAUUUAUAUAGUCUGCUGUGCGUUU